rnacentral:rRNA from 1 species
UAAGGAAUAUUGGUCAAUGGACGAAAGUCUGAACCAGCCAUGCCGCGUGGAGGAUGAAGGUCCUCUGGAUUGUAAACUUCUUUUAUCUGGGACGAAAAAAGGUCUUUCUAGAUCGUCUGACGGUACCAGAUGAAUAAGCACCGGCUAACUCCGUGCCAGCAGCCGCGGUAAUACGGAGGGUGCAAGCGUUAUCCGGAUUCACUGGGUUUAAAGGGUGCGUAGGUGGGUUGGUAAGUCAGUGGUGAAAUCUUCGAGCUUAACUCGGAAACUGCCAUUGAUACUAUCAGUCUUGAAUAUUGUGGAGGUUAGCGGAAUAUGUCAUGUAGCGGUGAAAUGCUUAGAUAUGACAUAGAACACCAAUUGCGAAGGCAGCUGGCUACACAUAUAUUGACACUGAGGCACGAAAGCGUGGGGAUCAAACAGGAUUAGAUACCCUGGUAGUCCACGCCCUAAACUAUGGAUACUCGACAUACGCGAUACACUGUGUGUGUCUGAGCGAAAGCAUUAAGUAU